GCGCGAAAACUUUACAAUGCGGGAAACCGUGAUAAGGGAACUCCGAGUGCCCGUAAAAUCGGGCUGUCCACCAGUUUAAAAAACUGGUGAAGAAAGGGCCGGGCAAGACCGGUGCCAGCCGCCGCGGUAAUACCGGCGGCUCGAGUGGUGGCCACUAUUACUGGGCUUAAAGCGUUCGUAGCUGGUUUGUUAAGUCUCUGGGGAAAUCUUCCGGCUUAACCGGAAGGCGUCUCAGGGAUACUGGCAGACUAGGGACCGGAAGAGGUGAGGGGUACUUCAGGGGUAGGAGUGAAAUCCUGUAAUCCUUGAGGGACCACCUGUGGCGAAGGCGCCUCACCAGGACGGCUCCGACAGUGAGGGACGAAAGCUGGGGGAGCAAACCGGAUUAGAUACCCGGGUAGUCCCAGCCGUAAACGAUGUGCGUUAGGUGUAUCGGUGACCACGAGUCACCGAGGUGCCGAAGAGAAAUCGUGAAACGUACCGCCUGGGAAGUACGGUCGCAAGGCUGAAACUUAAGGAAUUGGCGGGGGA
rnacentral:rRNA from 1 species